AGAGUUUGAUCAUGGCUCAGGAUGAACGCUGGCGGCGUGCUUAACACAUGCAAGUCGAACGAAGCAUUUUAGAUGAAGUCUUCGGACGGAUUUUGGGAUGACUGAGUGGCGGACGGGUGAGUAACGCGUGGGCAACCUGCCCUGUACAGGGGGAUAACAGCUGGAAACGGCUGCUAAUACCGCAUAAGCGCACGGGACCGCAUGGCCCUGUGUGAAAAGCUCCGGCAGUACAGGAUGGGCCCGCGUCUGAUUAGGCAGUUGGCGGGGUGACGGCCCACCAAACCGACGAUCAGUAGCCGACCUGAGAGGGUGACCGGCCACAUUGGGACUGAGACACGGCCCAAACUCCUACGGGAGGCAGCAGUGGGGAAUAUUGCACAAUGGGCGCAAGCCUGAUGCAGCGACGCCGCGUGAGCGAAGAAGUAUUUCGGUAUGUAAAGCUCUAUCAGCAGGGAAGAAAACGACGGUACCUGCACAAGAAGCUCCGGCUAAAUACGUGCCAGCAGCCGCGGUAAUACGUAUGGAGCAAGCGUUAUCCGGAAUUACUGGGUGUAAAGGGAGCGUAGACGGCAUGGCAAGUCUGGUGUGAAAGACCGGGGCUCAACCCCGGGCCUGCAUUGGAAACUGCCAAGCUUGAGUGCCGGAGAGGUAAGCGGAAUUCCUAGUGUAGCGGUGAAAUGCGUAGAUAUUAGGAGGAACACCAGUGGCGAAGGCGGCUUACUGGACGGUAACUGACGUUGAGGCUCGAAGGCGUGGGAGCAAACAGGAUUAGAUACCCUGGUAGUCCACGCAGUAAACGA
rnacentral:rRNA from 1 species